UACAGAGGGUGCAAGCGUUCAUCGGAAUUACUGGGCGUAAAGCGUGCGUAGACGGUUAUGUAAGUCGGGUGUGAAAGCCCCGGGCUCAACCUGGGAAUGCCAUUCGAGACUGCAUAGCUAGGGUGCGGAAGAGGGAAGCGGAAUUUCCGGUGUAGCGGUGAAAUGCGUAGAUAUCAGGAGGAACACCGGUGGCGAAGGCGGGUCUCUGGGCAGUAACUGACGCUGAGGAGCGAAAGCGUGGGGAGCGAACAGG
rnacentral:rRNA from 1 species